AUUGAACGCUGGCGGCAUGCCUUACACAUGCAAGCCGAACGGCAGCGGGGGAGAAGCUUGCUUUUCCUGCCGGCGUGUGGCGAACGGGUGAGUAAUACAUCGGAACGUGCCCUGUAGUGGGGGAUAACUAGUCGAAAGAUUAGCUAAUACCGCAUACGUCCUGAGGGUGAAAGUGGGGGAACGUAAGGCACCAUGCUAUAGGAGCGGCCGAUGUCUGAUUAGCUAGUUGGUGGGGUAAAGGCCUACCAAGGAGACGAUCAGUAGCUGGUCUGAGAGGACGAUCAGACACACUGGGACUGAGAAACGGCCCAGACUCCUACGGGAGGCAGCAGUGGGGAAUUUUGGACAAUGGGCGAAAGCCUGAUCCAGCAAUGCCGCGUGUGUGAAGAAGGCCUUCGGGUUGUAAAGCACUUUUGUCCGGAAAGAAAUGGCUCUGGUUAAUACCUGGGGUCGAUGACGGUACCGGAAGAAUAAGGACCGGCUAACUACGUGCCAGCCGCCGCAGUAA
rnacentral:rRNA from 1 species